rnacentral:piRNA from 2 species
UGAUGGCAUUAUGCUCCCAUUGGGUGUCUGG